rnacentral:lncRNA from 1 species
CACGGGAUCCGUUGUCUAGAAAUGCAAUCCUGGGACGAAGCCACAUAGUUGGGUGAACAUUGUAAGAUGUUGAUAUAUGGGAACGAGUAUGCUAUGCAAACACUUCUUAAUAGUCGUGGAUUAACAGAUCUACUUGGGUUAGGCACUGAUGAAGCCAUGAAGGGCAUGACAGCAAGCAUUAAGCUAAAAUGCCUGUAGAAAGUGACGAGAAUAAGGAUUGCAAUGUGGGGGGCACGUGAUUGACCCUGAGCUCCUUUCCAGCGAGUAUAUCGUAUGUUACGCAUGAGCAUGCAGGCAAGCUAGAUGUGUAAUGUGAAUAGGCAAGUGCUUUGUCACCAAGUGCAGCACAGAGAUGCGUCUAGGCGUUUACACGCUAGUGAGUUUUGUGGGCGAAAUAUACAUGUCAUGUCUAGCUUUGUUAUGAAAAUUAUCGGAUCCAUUCGAUUACUGCCCAUGGGUGCAAAAGAUUGUCUCGAUGUGAGAAUUGGAGAGUUGGCCCGUGUCACUAAGACGUCUGCCCAAUGAAUCAGCUGGACUUGACAGCCCAAGGGUACGAUAAAUCUCAGUCUUUUCGUCCACGGAAUUGUUAAUGGGACAUACAAUGCCUCGUUCAACAAGAUUAGGAAGAUAAUAUACCAUUACUCUUUACUUUUCGAUAUGCUGUACUGGACAAUUUCCCGUGAAGAUCAAGAAAAAUUGUUGUAUUAGAGAAGAACUCGGGAAGUAUGUACUGAAUGCCAUAGCAUGUGUAGUACCCGAAAGGAUAGUACGACCUGAAACAUAAAAGAAAUGGCAGCUCCCACUAAACCAGGAUAUUGUGAAAGAUGUUAAGGCGAAGUUGAGGACAAGUUACAAGGAUGAUUUUCUGCUAGAUGGGGAUAGAAAUUGGACGCUGGAAAGGACUCGUAACAUAUGCUCUCUCAUGUUGCCUGUAUAAGAAUGAUUGAAGAAGAAAGUUCUAUUGGCGCUUGUGAUUAAUUGGCAGUUAAUAUGAUCAUAGUACACCCAUGUUUCUCCCUUUCUACAAUAUAUCACACAGUCCGCUGCUGUUUGGUGUCAAGGUUUUGCAGGAGACAAGGAUUAAGAUUUGAAGAGUGGAUGCUUACGGUUUAUCAAGUAAAAAAUCUUGAGCAUUCUCAUGGUUAGAUUUUUUUUAUUUUUUUUAAAAUAAUAUUUUCAAGUAUUUGCACUUUACUGAAUAGCUUUGACAUUUUUGCUUUAUUCGUAUUCGUUUAAAUAUGAC